AAUCAAGUUAGGAACCAUGCAAGU
rnacentral:miRNA from 1 species